UCCACCCUCUCUCUAACCAUCAGAAUUCAGACACCUGGGUCAACUCUCACCUCUGGCUGUGAUCCUAAUGUUAAGCACCUGGAUCCACAUUAGGCACAAAGACCAAACAGGCCUGAUUUCCAGAGGCCCUGAUCACCCACAACUCCUUUGGGUUCCUUCUGAAAAUCAGGCCACUUUUAUGUGGAUACCUUGAUGCAGAUUUAGGCCAUGGGCAGAAGAAGACCUGUCCUGGUCAGUGCCGCCCCAAAUGUGGCAAACAUGAGCAGCCAUCAAAAUAUACCUAUGCAAACUGCAAAGCGAUCUGCUGUCUCUCCACCAAAAAGGGGAAAUGAGCACGGAGGGCUCCACCUGCCCUGGAAGAGGAGCAGCAGCGGCAGCGGGUUCCCGACUGUUUAGCAGAAAUGUUGUUCACUCCUCUCAUUAAAUAAGAGCAGAUCUGGC